UUAAAGGUACCCGUACCGCAAACCGACACAGGUGGGUGAGGAGAGUAUCCUAAGGCUCGCGAGAGAACUGUUGUUAAGGAACUCGGCAAAAUGACCCCGUAACUUAGGGAUAAGGGGUGCCACCAUAUGGUGGCCGCAGAGAAUAGGCCCAAGCGACUGUUUACCAAAAACAUAGGUUUCUGCUAAGUCGCAAGACGAUGUAUAGGAGCUGACGCCUGCCCGGUGCUGGAAGGUUAAGGGGAUCU
rnacentral:rRNA from 1 species